rnacentral:rRNA from 1 species
AACGCGAAGAACCUUACCUGGGCUCGAAAUGUAGUGGAAUAGGGUGGAAACAUCCUAGUCUCGCAAGAGACUGCUAUAUAGGUGCUGCAUGGCUGUCGUCAGCUCGUGUCGUGAGAUGUUGGGUUAAGUCCCGCAACGAGCGCAACCCUUAUCCCUAGUUGCCAUCGGGUCAAGCCGGGCACUCUAGUGAAACCGCCCGGGAUAACCGGGAGGAAGGUGGGGAUGACGUCAAGUCCUCAUGGCCUUUAUGUCCAGGGCUACACACGUGCUACAAUGGUCGGUACAAACCGUCGCAAACCCGCGAGGGGGAGCUAAUCGGAAAAAGCCGGCCUCAGUUCGGAUUGGAGUCUGCAACCCGACUCCAUGAAGCUGGAAUCGCUAGUAAUCGCGGAUCAGAACGCCGCGGUGAAUACGUUCCCGGGCCUUGUA